rnacentral:rRNA from 1 species
GCAAGUCAACUUGACUGAACGGUAGCAAUCUGACAGUAGAGUGGCGCAAGGGUGCGUAACGCGUAAGUAACUUGCCCAAGGUAAGGAAUAACGUCGAGAAAUCGGCGCUAAUACCUCAUAAUGCAGCGGAUCCGCAUGGAUAUGUUGUUAAAGGUUUACCGCCUUGGGAUAGGCUUGCGUCUGAUUAGCUAGUUGGUGUGGUAACGGCACACCAAGGCUACGAUCAGUAACUGGUCUGAGAGGAUGAUCAGUCACACUGGAACUGAGACACGGUCCAGACUCCUACGGGAGGCAGCAGUGAGGAAUAUUGGGCAAUGCUCGAAAGAGUGACCCAGCAACGCCGCGUGGAGGAUGAAGGUAUUCUAUAUCGUAAACUCCUGUGAGAGCAGACGAAAGACAGAUUAUUAAUCUGGAUGACUGUAUGCUCAGAGGAAGCCCCGGCUAACUACGUG